rnacentral:rRNA from 1 species
GAUGAACGCUGGCGGCGUGCCUAAUACAUGCAAGUCGAGCGAACAGACGAGGAGCUUGCUCCUCUGACGUUAGCGGCGGACGGGUGAGUAACACGUGGAUAACCUACCUAUAAGACUGGGAUAACUUCGGGAAACCGGAGCUAAUACCGGAUAAUAUAUUGAACCGCAUGGUUCAAUAGUGAAAGACGGUUUUGCUGUCACUUAUAGAUGGAUCCGCGCCGCAUUAGCUAGUUGGUAAGGUAACGGCUUACCAAGGCGACGAUGCGUAGCCGACCUGAGAGGGUGAUCAGCCACACUGGAACUGAGACCCGGUCCAGACUCCUACGGGAGGCAGCAGUCGGGAAUCUUCCGCAAUGAACGAAAGCCUGACGGAGCAACGCCGCGUGAAUGAUGAAGAUCUUCAGAUCGUAAAACUCUGUUAUUAGGGAAAAACAAAUGUGUAAGUAACUAUGCACGUAUUGACGGUACCGAAUCAGAAAGCCACGGCUAACUACGUG